AGAGUUGAUCCUGGCUUAGGACGAACGCUGGCGGCGUGCCUAACACAUGCAAGUCGAGCGAGGAGAUCCUCGGGAUGAUCCUAGCGGCGGACGGGUGAGUAACACGUGGGCAACCUGCCUCAUAGAGAGGAAUAGCCUUCCGAAAGGGAGAUUAAUACCUCAUAACAUUGCAGUUUCGCAUGGAACAGCAAUUAAAGGAGUAAUCCGCUAUGAGAUGGGCCCGCGGCGCAUUAGCUAGUUGGUGAGGUAAUGGCUCACCAAGGCGACGAUGCGUAGCCGACCUGAGAGGGUGAUCGGCCACAUUGGGACUGAGACACGGCCCAGACUCCUACGGGAGGCAGCAGGUGGGGAAUAUUGCACAAUGGGGGAAACCCUGAUGCAAGCAACGCCGCGUGAGUGAUGACGGCCUUCGGGUUGUAAAGCUCUGUCUUCAGGGACGAUAAUGACGGUACCUGAGGAGGAAGCCACGGCUAACUACGUGCCAGCCGCAGC
rnacentral:rRNA from 1 species